AUGCUGCAAGACAUAUACUACCUCCUGCACAGUAUCAGUAGCCCAAGAAUGAAGGCCAACACUAUAGUGGAUGCAUACUGCUCUAACCUCUGUAUUCCUUUGUUUCACCUUUAUGUUUCUGCUCUUUUGCUGUACUCAAGAAUUAAGAUCCUGUGGGAUGGCAUAUUAUACCAAACUGGAAAUAUAUGGAAGAAGGGCACUAAAGUGACUCCGUCUAUUCUUGAAGGUGGGGGACUGCACAGAACCAACCCCUGACUGGACUACUUGGAUACACUGUGCUGUUUGAGGUUUUCCUGUGCUCCUACCUUCCAGGUCUCUGAAGGAAGCCUCUCAUAGAGUGCAUGACACCAUGUGAAAAACACCCAUAAGUCUCUGGACUGGGCACCAGCAACUGUGGCAGUGUGGCAUAAGUGUCCAGAUUUCCCCACUACAAUCAUGGUUUGUAGCAUGGUAAGCACUAACAUGUCAUUGUACCAAGGAAAAUGCUGCCGUGUGGAUUCAAUGAACUAUAUGAUUGUCUCAGUACACAAGUCAGAGCCUGGAUAUAUUUGUACUUUAGAAAGAGCCUUCUUUUUCAGGCUCCUGGAACUGGUUUUUGCACAAAGGUGGUGAACAGAGUCUAGGAAGCAGGUAAGUUUGUUCUUGUUCAAAAAGAAAAAGAGACAAAGAUGAAAUCAAGUAUAGUUAAUGAUUUCAAAGUUUUUGAACGUGUGCAUUACUAUAUAAAUGCUAUUUAUUACCCUCAAGAGAUAAG
rnacentral:lncRNA from 1 species